CCUACGGGGUGCAGCAGUGGGGAAUAUUGGACAAUGGGCGAAAGCCUGAUCCAGCCAUGCCGCGUGUGUGAAGAAGGCCUUCGGGUUGUAAAGCACUUUCAGUGGGGAAGAAAGCCUUGGGGCUAAUACCCUCGAGGAAGGACAUCACCCACAGAAGAAGCACCGGCUAACUCAGUGCCAGCAGCCGCGGUAAUACGGAGGGUGCGAGCGUUAAUCGGAAUUACUGGGCGUAAAGCGCGCGUAGGCGGUCUGAUAAGCCGGUUGUGAAAGCCCCGGGCUCAACCUGGGAACGGCAUCCGGAACUGUCAGGCUAGAGUGCAGGAGAGGAAGGUAGAAUUCCCGGUGUAGCGGUGAAAUGCGUAGAGAUCGGGAGGAAUACCAGUGGCGAAGGCGGCCUUCUGGACUGACACUGACGCUGAGGUGCGAAAGCGUGGGUAGCAAACAGGAUUAGAUACCCCGGUAGUC
rnacentral:rRNA from 1 species